AAAUGAUAAUAAAUUAUUCUCGCCUCCAUGCAUAUCUGUAGCUGUAGGGCAGUCGCACACCUCCCCACUACUUGAAAUAUAGUUCCUGCACUUGGCAAUAUCGUUUGGUAACAAAACCUCUUCCAACCCCCCGAAUCCCUCAGGGAAUGCCCCUGCCCUGCCUUUGGAAUCAAGCCGUCACAAUUGUGCACG